GACAGAGGGUGCAACCGUUGUUCGGAAUUACUGGGCGUAAAGCGUGUGUAGGCGGCUUUGCAAGUCGGAUGUGAAAGCCCGGGGCUCAACCCCGGAAGUGCACUCGAUACUGCAGAGCUAGAGUAUCGGAGAGGUUGGUGGAAUUGGCGGUGUAGAGGUGAAAUUCGUAGAUAUCGCUAGGAACACCGGUGGCGAAGGCGGCAUCCUGGACCGACACUGACGCUGAGGAGCGAAAGCCAGGGGAGCAAACGGG
rnacentral:rRNA from 1 species